UUUACUUUCUUGUUUGUUUGUUUUUAGCCAGUAGGCCUAUCUAAAGGCAUAUUGACACCAUAUAUUGACACCAUGGCAGGAGUCCUGGGGUCUACAGCCUCCAUGUGUCCUUACAGUGAGCCGCUUGACCUUCCAAUGAAACGCUCCCUCCGCGCGUUUCCACCGCGCAUGUUUGUGCGUGGCCCAUCAUGUGAUGCAAUAGGCUACGGUUACACAUUGAUUUAUUGUAAGUGAAGCAGCAUGCUCGAGUAAGACGCUGUCUGCAUUUGGAUUUGUUAUGAUGUUAUAAAAAUCUGUCCGCAUUUGGAGGUGAAGCCGAUUCCAGCACGGGAGCUGUCCGACACUGACGGAUGCUGCUGGCGCGUGAACCGAUGAUGCUGAGCUCGAGCUGCUGAAAUCCUCCUCCUCCUCCUCCUCUCUCUGUUUCUCUCUCUCUCACCUCUUCUCUCCCUCCUCGCUCCUCUCCUCUCCUCCACACGCACAAAACGCUCUGUCAUGGCGUCUUCCAACCAUGUUACCCCCACCAACUGUAGCUGGUGGCCCAUCUCAGCCAUGGAUGAAGACGGCAAAAUCACAGACGGGGAGGAGUGCGAAGAACCGACGGCAGAGCCCAAACCCUUCAAUAAAGACAGGCUGGUUUUGUACCACUGGACGCAGUCUUUCACCUCUCAGAAGGUACGUCUAGUGAUUAAUGAGAAGGGUCUGGUCUGCGAGGAGAGGGAUGUGAGCUUGCCGCUGCAGGAGCACAAGGAGCCCUGGUUCAUGAGGCUGAACCUGGGCGAGGAGGUGCCCGUCUUCCUCCACGGCGACACCAUCAUCAGUGACUACAACCAGAUUAUAGAUUACCUGGAGAAAAACUUUGUGGGAGACACGGUGGCUCAGCUGGUUCCUGACGCAGACUCGCCUCUCCACGAUCGAGUGCAGCAGUACCGUCAGCUACUGGAUGGCCUCCCAAUGGACGCUUACACACACGGCUGCAUCCUCCAUCCGGAGCUCACCACCGACUCUAUGAUCCCAAAGUACGCCACCGCAGAAAUACGUAGACACCUGGCGAACGCUGCGACGGAGCUGAUGAAGUUGGACCACGAGGAGCCUCAGCUGACAGAACCGUACCUUUCCAAGCAGAAGAAGCUCAUGGCAAAAAUCUUGGACCACGAUAAUGUGAACUACCUGAAGAAAAUUCUGGGGGAGUUAGCCAUGGUUCUAGAUCAAGUGGAGGCCGAGCUGGAGAAAAGAAAACUAGAGUAUCAAGGUCAGAAGUGUGAGUUGUGGCUAUGUGGACCUGAAUUUACACUAGCUGACGUCUGCCUCGGAGCCUUGUUGCACAGGCUCAAGUUCUUGGGACUUUCUAAGAAAUACUGGGAGGACGGCAGCCGACCCAACCUGCAGUCCUUUUUUGUGCGUGUGCAAAAACGCUACGCUUUCCGCAAGGUCUUGGGCGACAUCCACACGACCCUUCUGUCGGCGGUCCUACCCAACGCCUUCCGGAUGGUAAAAAAGAAGCCACCGUCCUUCUUCGGGGCCUCUUUUCUCAUGGGCUCGCUGGGAGGGAUGGGCUACUUUGCCUACUGGUAUUUAAAAAAGAAAUACAUGUAGUGAAUGCCCUCUUGUUGUGUUAAAUGUCUGUGUAUUUGUGUGAUGUUUCAACUUUUCUGUAAUGUUUUAUGACUGCAGGAAAACAUAAUGAAUCUAUAUAGAGAACACUAUUACUUACCUGGGUGAACAAAGAAUAUUAAAACAUUCCAUAAUAAGAAAUCCUUGACAGCACAUUUUCUGGUAAUCAAGGCCUUCAUCGACUUUAAUUUCUGGCAACUUGCGGCCGGCAAGUCUUUGUUUAACUUUUGUUGGAGGCAUGCAUCGGGUCUUCUUACACUGAAAAACUUAAAGAAGAAACCCAGACAAAAUGUUAAACACAGUAACACCAACAGGAGUUAACUGACCUUCGCAUGCCACUAUUAUAGUCAUUACUCAUACCUGCUCUUCACUCCUCCAUCAGCCUGAGGUUUAUCCAGUGAAACCGCAGGAAAAUGUUACAUGACAAAUACUUUCUGAUAAGUGCUGUGCUGCCAGAAACUGCCACAUGAAGUGAUGAAAGGAUGGAGGCAAACUUUAACGGAGUAGUUCGACAUUUUAGGGAAUUUGCUUAUUCGCUUUCUAGCAGAGACUCAGAUGUUUGGAUUGAUAGCACUCUCAUGUCUGUCCAUUGAAUAUGAAGCCACAGCCAGGAGAUGCUUAGCUUAGCUCAGCAUUACGACUCGAAGCAAGGGGAAACAGAAAGCCCACACUUGGCCCCAAACAGGGGCGCACCACCAGUAGAGGUAAAUCAGGCAAAUGUUUGGGCCCCAAAAAAGAAGAGGGGUCCUCAAUGUCCUCUCAUAGUAGCACAUUCUGUACGGUGGUGCAGUAGUUAGCAUUGUCGCCUCACAGCAAGAGAGGGCCUGGUUCAAACCCGGGGUGGGGGAGCCCUUCAGUGUGGGUUUUCUCCAGGUACUCCGGCUUCCUCCCACAGUCCAAAGACAUGCAGGUUAACUGGUGACUCUAAAUUGUCCGUAGGUGUGAAUGUGAGUGUGAAUGGUUGUCUGUCUCUAUGUGUCAGCCCUGUGAUAGUCUGGUGACCUGUCCAGGGUGUACCCUGCCUCUCGCCCAAUGUCACCCAGGACACCUAACACGAUAAGUAGUUACAGAAAAUUAAUGAAUGAAUACUUAAGUUUGAAAACCCAGCUCGGUCUCCUUCACGAUCUCGGUACGAGACAACCUAGGUGGUGACAUUUCUUGACACUCCGGGCAACUACUGUAGAGCAAGAAAGUCUGCAUGCAGUGAGUGGGUCAAACAAACUCAAGACUUUCACCUGGGAGACGCUGUUCAUGUCUUCUGUGAAACCAAAAGUCAAUCAAGUUAUUUUAAAAACGACAUUAUGUGCUAGUGUGUUUAGCAAACUAUGCUGGUGGCAUAUGUCACAUGACGUUAUAUUACAUUAGUAACAAACAUACUUAUUUGAAGCGAAACCAUGAUGUUUUUUUCUCAACCUAACCACGCCCUUUGUUGCCUACAGUGGUUUCAAACUUUUUGUGCCCAAGACACACCAAAGGGCACACCUGUAUUUAUAUCUGUGCACAUAUAUAUAACACAUGUAAUUAUCUUAUCAGGACAUAAGACAAAAAACUAAGACAGGUAGCUUUUAUGAUACUGUCUACUGUUUUUUCUUCUCUUCUCUUUCAGCGGUAGGUCGUCUUCGCUGGUGGUUUGUUGUAAUUUCCUUUGUACAAUAAAGCUGUUAAUUGUCCCAAUCACAGCUUCCUCCUUUUAAAUGUUAUCAUCCCUCACACUGGCUGCCGAUCAGGGCUUCUGAUGUGUCACACAUGUGUAAUUCCCUCACAUGAAAGGCGACAAAUUAGGGUUUUUUAAUUUGAUUUGUAUUACACUUUGUAGCUAGAGUUGCCCCUUUGUAUACUGUAUACUGAUACAGUCAAUUAAAAAUUCAUUCAUAACUUUUCAUAUAGGCCCAGUUGAAUAUUGCUGUAAUAAUGCGGUUAUCACAAAAUACCAUGGCACACCUGGAUUGGCAUCACAGCACACCAGUGUGCAGCGGGACACCAUUUGAGAAACAGUGGUUGCCCAAAACGUAAGGAAGUCAACCUAAAAACAAAUGUUUUUACCUACGUUCUAAGUUAAUUUCUUAGAGUUUAUUUUAAGAGACAAUGCAUGUAACAACCAAAACUUGACAGAACGUUCUUUCAGUGUAACAGGAAAGAAGAAAGUUGACUGAGACUCCAGGCUUGCUCAACUCUUAUUGGAAGACAAAGCGAGAAGGGGCAGGACUUAUAAAGGGCUAACUGAAUUUGAGCAACAUGAAUCUUUUUUUAUUCUAAAACUUGAAUUUCUGGAUCUGAAUUUGUUAACACUGAAAAAGAUAAAUUCAAAUUCAGAGAAAGAAAUCUUGUGUUUUAAUUUAAGAGGUAAACUAGAUCAAAUACAUUCAGAACCAAGGUUUUCAAAGUAAAAUAAUUCAGUUCAAUUCAAUCUUUUCUUUGUCACAUGGAAUUCUACCAAGUAAAACUGCAGAGAAAUGUGAUCCAUCAGCUCCUUUCACUUGUGCACUGUAGUUAAGCCCCUUUCUUGCGUCGUCUUACAUUGUUGGCUGCUGCUGUAUAAUCCAUCUUUCCGGAUGGUUCUAUUCAUCCAUGGCUUCUGGUUGUGGAACAAUUUAAUUUCAUUUAAUACUUCAAUGAUUUGAGUUCAGUUGUGUUUAAAUUGAAAUAUUAAGUCAUCAGUGCCUGUUAAAACUCAAAUACUUAUGGGUCUUAUUUGCUUCCAUACACACAGAGAGAAAUAAAGUAAUCAAAUGCAGUAUUUGCAUCUACACGUAUGUAAGUAUAUGUGUUUAACCCUUUGUGCUUUUGUUGUCCAGUCUGCUGGAAUUUCAAGAUACUCCCGCACUGCUCCUUUACGCCAACAUCUUGUUUCUUUUGGCUCUCUGCCUCUGAUAGUCAGUUUACUGAUUUCUAUCAUUAGUGCGUGACUUCAUUGUUUUGUUUAGUUGCUGCCACAAGUUCCACCAAGGCAUUAUGUUCUCAGAUGACAUCCCGUCCAGAAAUGCCUCACGUUAUUGUUGGA